ACUACUCUAAGAAUUCUUGAGUCUUUUGAAAUCUUUAGCUUGAUAGAAACCUAACUUGAAUUUUUUCUUGUCACCCAAAAAUCUCCUUUUAAUCUGCCAAACUCAGUCCAAUCUUUAAUUCCAAAGUUUCCUCUCCAAAUUUGCUUGGUAAUAGGCCUCUCUAAAAAACUUCUUUACUAUUGUUCUAAUAAUUAUUAAUACUUUGUAAUCUUUAACUUGAAAAAAACUUGAUUUAAAUUUAUUCUUGCAUUGAGAAAUUUUGUUCCAAAUAAAGGUGUGUAGAUUAAAAUAUGCCUCCC
rnacentral:lncRNA from 1 species